CAGACGUUCAAGCGGAGGAACGGCGGGCGCAACAAGCAUGGCCGCGGCCACGUCAAGUACAUCCGCUGCUCCAACUGCGCCAAGUGCUGCCCCAAGGACAAGGCUAUCAAGCGUUUCUUGGUGAGGAACAUCGUGGAGCAGGCUGCUGUGAGAGAUGUGCAGGAGGCUUGUGUCCAUGAUGGAUAUGUCCUUCCCAAGCUGUACGCCAAGGUGCACCACUGUGUUUCUUGUGCCAUCCAUGCUCACAUUGUCCGUGUCCGCUCCCGUGAGAACAGGAGGAACCGUGAGCCCCCGCAGCGUUUCAGGCGCAGGGACGACGGCCCGAGGCCUGGACAGGGUGGCCCGCCCCGUGCUGGUGGCCCUGGAGGCCCUGGUGGUGCUCCUGCCGGCGCUGGUGCUGUCCCUGGAGCUCCUGCUCCCCGUGUGGCGCUUUGA
rnacentral:rRNA from 1 species